rnacentral:rRNA from 1 species
UACGUAGGUGGCAAGCGUUGUCCGGAUUUACUGGGCGUAAAGAGCGCGCAGGCGGCCUGAUCAGUCGAAUGUGAAAGCCCCCGGCUUAACUGGGGAGGGUCAUUCGAUACUGUCAGGCUCGAAGGCAGGAGAGGGAAGCGGAAUUCCCGGUGUAGUGGUGAAAUGCGUAGAUAUCGGGAGGAACACCAGUGGCGAAGGCGGCUUUCUGGCCUGUUCUUGACGCUGAGGCGCGAAAGCCAGGGGAGCGAACGGG